UGCAGUCGAGCGGACCGACGGGAGCUUGCUCCCUUAGGUCAGCGGCGGACGGGUGAGUAACACGUGGGUAACCUGCCUGUAAGACUGGGAUAACUCCGGGAAACCGGGGCUAAUACCGGAUGCUUGAUUGAACCGCAUGGUUCAAUCAUAAAAGGUGGCUUUCAGCUACCACUUACAGAUGGACCCGCGGCGCAUUAGCUAGUUGGUGAGGUAACGGCUCACCAAGGCGACGAUGCGUAGCCGACCUGAGAGGGUGAUCGGCCACACUGGGACUGAGACACGGCCCAGACUCCUACGGGAGGCAGCAGUAGGGAAUCUUCCGCAAUGGACGAAAGUCUGACGGAGCAACGCCGCGUGAGUGAUGAAGGUUUUCGGAUCGUAAAACUCUGUUGUUAGGGAAGAACAAGUACCGUUCGAAUAGGGCGGCACCUUGACGGUACCUAACCAGAAAGCCACGGCUAACUACGUGCCAGCAGCCGCGGUAAUACGUAGGUGGCAAGCGUUGUCCGGAAUUAUUGGGCGUAAAGCGCGCGCAGGCGGUUUCUUAAGUCUGAUGUGAAAGCCCCCGGCUCAACCGGGGAGGGUCAUUGGAAACUGGGGAACUUGAGUGCAGAAGAAGAGAGUGGAAUUCCACGUGUAGCGGUGAAAUGCGUAGAGAUGUGGAGGAACACCAGUGGCGAAGGCGACUCUCUGGUCUGUAACUGACGCU
rnacentral:rRNA from 1 species